GUGGAUGAAGCCCUGAUACCUAUCGGCUCUCUCCAAAACCGCCCAUAACACCACACUACCGUUUCCAGGAUUACUCCGCCGAAACGGGAGUGCCAAGCAGGCGGGCUUUUUCAAUUAAGAGGCCCCAAACGUAGGCCAUCGCCCACACCCUGAGAUUGAGAGUCUCUGGCUCCAUCGACUGAGAUGCCCGGGCUACUGCUUCAGAUCUUUUGCGUGAAACACCCCAAUACGUCAGCCUUGCAACGUCUCCAGCUCGUACAGACUGUUGCACAUACUUCGGAUCACUCGGCACUUGACAUAUUUUGGGCUGAGCUUUGCGUUGAUGUUGGUUUUAAAUUUGCUCAACACGAAAUUCCGCUUAUAUACCUCCUGACCCGGCUUCAUGAGAGUUUCCUCGGACCUCAUCUCGGACUAUUUCCAUCUUGUCACUCCUCGCCAAGGGUGACAUUUGUGCAUCAUUUAGGGCGCCCAGUCUGCGUGCCAAUUUAUAAUCUCGGCCGCUAGUAAACAGGUGCUGCCCAAACAACACAAAGUAUGGUGACGUCCCGAUGCCCGUGUGUAUAGCGCUCCUAGCCACACACUGGAUCUCCGUCACCUUCUCGUCCCAGCGCGUGUGAUCCUCACUAGCGUAUGUCCUUAUCGCCGCCAGUAUUGUCUGGUUCACUCGUUCGGCCGCGUUCGCCUGUGGUGCAUAGUUCCCCGACUUCAGGUGCGUUAUGC